UUUCAGGUCGCUCUAGCAGAGUCAGGUGCCAAGGAGGCAAAGCCUCUUGUCUAGGGCAAAGAUAGCAGAGAAAGAAAUUCAUCAAAACAUCUUCUUCAGCUGGUUUUCGAAGCAUUUCUGGCAGCCUGGCAUUGCAUGUUUGAACUUUGGGAAGAAGGAUUUGAUUUAUUGACUCUCCACAAUUCCAACCAAAGACUUCAUAUGGCAGCUAGCAUAUGCCCAAAGAUAUGACUAUGAUACAGAUGCAAG